rnacentral:pre_miRNA from 1 species
CAAUGGGAAGAAGUGAGGCUGCCGCAGCAUGACCUAGCAAGGGAUGAACCACAAGAAUAAAACAGCUCGAAUUCACAGAUAACAAGUUUGUGAGCAUAUCUUGUUGAUCAUUCAGAGCUAGAUCAUGCUGGCAGCUUCACUCAUUCCCUUG